AUGGGGGAGGGGCAUGGCUCGAGUCCCCCCUGGGGACCAGACACAGCCAGGUUCCUGUCGCGGCUUAGCCUCGUGCUGGCUGUGUGGCUUCAGGAGAGAAAUUCGCCCUUUCUGGGCCUCUGUUGGCUCGUCCAGAAAUGGGGCUCCUUGCAAAGCACGGCCAGGAAGAUGCGUGGUGCUCCCGUGGCCGCGGUGGUGUGGUGGCUGCCACGGCGCCCUGCUGCCCGCCUGCAGCCUCGUGUGCCCCGGGAGGGAGGAGAGGCGGGGCUGAGGCGGGCCGAGGGCUGCAGAGGCUGCCGGGCACCUGCUCUUGAGACCCGGCUGUUCCCUGGCCAGCAGGCCUGGAGGCCUCGGCCGGGAGCCCAAGCUGCUCGCACGCCCAGGCCGGGGGGCCGGGGCCAGGCCUGCACUCGGACCUGGUGGGCUUCCAGCAUCCUGUGUGUGCCGGGUGCACACCCUGGGCUGCUCCGCAUGGCUCCUGCUGCAUCCCUGUGUUUCUGGGCUCCCCUGGGUGAACCCCGCAGCAGGAUUCAGAGCCCCCAGGCCCACACCUGCGGCCCCUUUGCUGAGCAAACAGCUGCCUCCCGGGGGGACCUGGCGCAACCAGCCUCGGGGUUUCAUCACCAGCCCCACGGCCGCCAGCGCCUGCCUGAGCCGGGCUGGGCUCUGGGCAGCUGGGUGGCUCCAGUGAGCCAUGGAGGACCCGUGACCGCAGCAGCUCCUGUGUCCCCGCCUCCCCCGCCCGGCCAGGACAGUGGGCGGCUGCCCAGGGAGCACAGAUGGCUCUUGGCUGGGAUCAGCUUCCUCUCCAGCCCUGGCCCUCACUGGCAGAGGCCGCGGAGGCUGGGCAGGGACAGUGGGGACCGGCUUGGCUGCGGGGCAGGGUGGCCUUGCAGGAGAGCAGCCCACAGAUCCCAGGGCCUGGGGAGGGGGAGGGUGUGGGCCACCAGGCUUCCCUGUGGUGAAGGGGGCCGGGGGCACUGCUCGUGUGCCUGGCAUCGGCCGGUGACCCCGACGAGCCCAGACUGCAGAGCCACACACCUGGGGUGUCUUCCUGGGGGCGGGCCUCGCACUCUGCCCUAUGUCUGGGUCCAGAGCUUUUUGCACGGUUGUGGGCUGUGUGGCGCCCAUGAGCCGCCUAAUUCUGCUCCAGGCCUCUGUCCGGUGUGGGCAGCAGGACACAGGUGUGCUGCCAGCGGUCAGUGCUCGAGUCCCUGCUUGUAA
rnacentral:lncRNA from 1 species